rnacentral:rRNA from 1 species
AUUGAACGCUGGCGGCAUGCUUUACACAUGCAAGUCGAACGGUAACAGGCCGCAAGGUGCUGACGAGUGGCGAACGGGUGAGUAAUGCAUCGGAACGUGCCCAGUCGUGGGGGAUAACGCAGCGAAAGCUGUGCUAAUACCGCAUACGAUCUAUGGAUGAAAGCGGGGGACCGUAAGGCCUCGCGCGAUUGGAGCGGCCGAUGUCAGAUUAGGUAGUUGGUGGGGUAAAGGCCUACCAAGCCGACGAUCUGUAGCUGGUCUGAGAGGACGACCAGACAAACUGGGACUGAGACACGGCCCAGACUCCUACGGGAGGCAGCAGUGGGGAAUUUUGGACAAUGGGCGCAAGCCUGAUCCAGCAAUGCCGCGUGCAGGAAGAAGGCCUUCGGGUUGUAAACUGCUUUUGUACGGAACGAAACGGUCUGGGUUAAUACCCCGGGCUAAUGACGGUACCGUAAGAAUAAGCACCGGCUAACUACGUGCCAGCCGCCGCCGUAAUAC